rnacentral:rRNA from 1 species
GAUGAACGCUGGCGGCGUGCCUAAUACAUGCAAGUCGAGCGAACAGACGAGGAGCUUGCUCCUCUGACGUUAGCGGCGGACGGGUGAGUAACAUGUGGAUAACCUACCUAUAAGACUGGGAUAACUUCGGGAAACCGGAGCUAAUACCGGAUAAUAUAUUGAACCGCAUGGUUCAAUAGUGAAAGACGGUUUUGCUGUCACUUAUAGAUGGAUCCGCGCCGCAUUAGCUAGUUGGUAAGGUAACGGCUUACCAAGGCAACGAUGCGUAGCCGACCUGAGAGGGUGAUCGGCCACACUGGAACUGGGACACGGUCCAGACUCCUACGGGAGGCAGCAGUAGGGAAUCUUCCGCAAUGGGCGAAAGCCUGACGGAGCAACGCCGCGUGAGUGAUGAAGGUCUUCGGAUCGUAAAACUCUGUUAUUAGGGAAGAACAAAUGUGUAAGUAACUAUGCACGUCUUGACGGUACCUAAUCAGAAAGCCACGGCUAACUACGUG